CUUACGCUAUGAAGGGAGGUUGCGUAAUCCGGAACACACUGCUUACCGUCUCAUCAUUUUUGCCUUUUUAGUCAAGGCGGUUAGACUGUGCUCGUUAAGAAGAGGACAAAAAGCUGUGUAAUUGCGACGCUCCACCCCCACUUCAACUGAUACCAGAAGUGUAGAAUCCCAGAUGCUGCAAUGAACUUCAGCUCCUGAGAGAGUUCCUUGCCGUGACAUGCCAUGUUGAAGUUCCAGUGGCCAGUAUUCGAGCGAUAACGCCAGAUUUAACACAUCUCCUCCCCAUUUUACACCUGAGGCCUUCUAGGAUAGCAAUCAUUGGUCUACUGCAGAGGAUGGAUGCUGAAUGAAGGACUGCAGUGACAGGCUAUGUUGAGAAGCUGCUCCUGUCGCUGAAGAUGAGAGUGGAGCCAUGUGGAGCAGCCUGUGACAAAGCAAGGCGCUGAUGAAGGAAACAGCAGGGACCUCACACUCUACGUCCCAUCUCCAUGGUGCAACAUAUUAAAGUCUCAUUUACUGACAAUAGACAUUCAGCCCCGCUGUUAGUCACACCAGCGCUACAACAAGCGGUGGCAAAAUGAGAGAUGGCCCCUCUUUGUCUAAGUCACCGUCAGGCAUAUUUGUUCUCUGCUUUCAGCUUUUCAGUGACUUAAAAACAAAAGCUGUUAAGGUAAGCUUGAAGGCAAAAUAUUACAAAAUUCAUGGUGAAACAUUUCCAAUUAGCAGCAGGGAGGAUGUUAUGUACUGCUGAGCUCUUUGAUUGUUUCUUUUUUUUAAUGGGGCUCACAACCAGGAAAUGUACAUUUGCUCCACGCAGUUUUGUUCCUGUGCUGAUAAGAGUCUCUUUUCCAUUUCAAACAGGAAUUAGAAAGUGAGUCCUUCUACUAGAGGCACCAAAAUGCCUGCAUUGUAGUAAGUGAUGUAUAAGCCGUGGAUAAGGAUGAAAAAUGUGACUGUUAAAUAGGUGGAUUUUGACAUGGAAGCACUUUAAUCUGCUGUUACUCCUGUUGUAAGCAGAUGUGACAGAGGCAGCUUUGUCAAAAGAAGAAGGGUUAUUUUGUGCCGCCUUUUCUUAAAUGCCUUUUCUAAAUGCUCAGUAAUUUAUCUGGCAAUAAAGUUGCUGGAAUAUAAAAGAACACUAAUGUACUGUUAAAAUCUUAUUAACUUUUACGUGAUUUGGUUCCUGCCUAAAUAGAAACAUACAUAUGCCACAACAUGCUAUUUCACAUAAUGCCAGAUCAAAUAUCAUUAUCUGUGUGACAUUUUAGUCCACUAUCCAGGUCCAGACCCAACCAACUGCGAUGGUGGGCAAAACCGAUAAGAAGAAUAUAGUGGGAGUUAAUGUUCCCAAACAGUAUGUGAUGUCUUUACACUUUUCCAGCCACUUGGUUACUGUCUGGUAUGUGCCAUUUUAGUAGCAAUUUAUACAUCCUGUACCUGUUUGAUGGUAAACCGUAGCCUCUGUUGUUCUGGUGUUGAGUCCCCACCCAUUCAACCAUUAUUACUGCCUCUGUGCUUCUCUUUCAGUCCUCUGUGGUUAUUGGUAGGACUUCUCAGUGUCAGCCAACUGUCUCAGUUUUCCAGUGGCACAUGCCACGUGGGGGACUAUCUUGCCAUCAAGUACUUCUCUUAAAAUGACUGGAAAAAUAUUGAUUCAACGUGGCUCAAACAAUUUGAAGAAAAAAAGGCCAAGAGGAAACCUGUACAAGUGCUGUGCUAGGCGAUUUUGAUAGAUGUCAAAAUCUUUCAUAAAAAUGAUUAAGAGAUGAAUAGUUACUCAAGAUUAUUUUCUGCUGUAAACUCUGUGUUAUACGAAUGCAUCAAAAGGGACAAUUUAAAACAUUAGAAAGGUUAAAAGAACAAGGCUUGAUGCAAAGUUUCAACUAUAUAUACAUAGAAAAAACUGAGACCUUAAUCGUUCAUUAGCUUCUUUAACCAUUCCACGUGGAAGGUCUUUCUCAGCAAGACUUCCAAAUCGGCAAACAAGUGCAACACAAGUGUUUACAAAAUGCUGUGAUGAGCCUUAAGUUUCCCACAAACAUAGCCUUUGUUAAACAAAUGUUUCUGUAAGAUAAAGUGGAACAAUAGCGAGUUCAACAAUAACAGUCGCUGGUGUUCCCUUGUUGUGCAAAAUUACAGUUUCUGCUUAAUUAGGACAGAAACAUGAAAGAGCAGUUAAAGGGGGGAAAGUCCUAGAAAAACUAAGCAGCAAAAAUAGCAAAGAAAAACUAAGUAGCAAAAAUCCAGAUGUAUAGGGAUAAGUCAUUCUGACUAGUGAGCAAAUGCUGAUUGCAUUUAAAACAAGUUGAU